GAUGAACGCUAGCGGCAGGCUUAAUACAUGCAAGUCGAGGGGCAGCGCAGUGUAGCAAUACAUGGGCGGCGACCGGCAAACGGGUGCGGAACACGUACGCAACCUUCCUUUAAGUGGGGGAUAGCCCAGGGAAACUUGGAUUAAUACCCCGUAAUAUUAUGAAGUGGCAUCACUUUAUACUUAUAGCUCCGGCGCUUAAAGAUGGGCGUGCGACUGAUUAGGUAGUUGGCGGGGUAACGGCCCACCAAGCCUGCGAUCAGUAACUGGUGUGAGAGCACGACCAGUCACCCGGGCACUGAGACACGGGCCCGACUCCUACGGGAGGCAGCAGUAAGGAAUAUUGGUCAAUGGACGCAAGUCUGAACCAGCCAUGCCGCGUGGAGGAUGAAGGUCCUCUGGAUUGUAAACUUCUUUUAUUAGGGAAGAAACCCACUGUUUCUACGGUGGUUGACGGUACCAGAUGAAUAAGCACCGGCUAACUCCGUGCCAGCAGCCGCCGUAA
rnacentral:rRNA from 1 species